rnacentral:tRNA from 1 species
AAUGUUUUAGGUUAAAUAAACCAAUAGCCUUCAAAGCUGUAAAUGGGUAAAUUACCCAAACAUUA